GUGGGGAAUAUUGCACAAUGGGCGCAAGCCUGAUGCAGCCAUGCCGCGUGUAUGAAGAAGGCCUUCGGGUUGUAAAGUACUUUCAGCGGGGAGGAAGGUGUUGUGGUUAAUAACCACAGCAAUUGACGUUACCCGCAGAAGAAGCACCGGCUAACUCCGUGCCAGCAGCCGCGGUAAUACGGAGGGUGCAAGCGUUAAUCGGAAUUACUGGGCGUAAAGCGCACGCAGGCGGUCUGUCAAGUCGGAUGUGAAAUCCCCGGGCUCAACCUGGGAACUGCAUUCGAAACUGGCAGGCUAGAGUCUUGUAGAGGGGGGUAGAAUUCCAGGUGUAGCGGUGAAAUGCGUAGAGAUCUGGAGGAAUACCGGUGGCGAAGGCGGCCCCCUGGACAAAGACUGACGCUCAGGUGCGAAAGCGUGGGGAGCAAACAGGAUUAGAAACCCGUGUAGUCC
rnacentral:rRNA from 1 species